UCUUCUGCUGGGUAAGCCUUAGGUAUAACUCUUGCCUUUGUCAGGUAUUCCCUGGGACCUGAUGCUGUCAGUGCCUGGCUCUCUGCCUUGCUCAGAAGGAGACCAGACAGAGGAUGAUUAAGUGACUUGCCAAAAUUCACACUACAGAGCAGAACAGCAAACUGAACUGCAAUGCAAUAUAAAGAAGGCAAAGAGCUUCCUGAAGGUUAGGAGUGGAAGAGGCCUUCCCUUUUAGAGGAAUUCCAACUGGCAUUAGCACACGUGAAUUCAAAACUCUUUGGAAGAUGAUUACAAGUACCAAUCUUAAUAUUUACAGGCUGAGGUUAUUGUCUCAUUGAGUCUUUCCUUCUUGCUCCUACUCUUUAUCCACACAUUUACUUCUGCUAUACCGUUACCAUGACUUUCCAAUUUCUCAGCCUUCUCCCCAGCCUGGUUCUUAUGUUCUGCUUGUUUCCAGUUUUCUCUUGCAAGGCCCAGUCUCAUCACCACACUGUAUAUCUGCUGUAUAUUGUCUGUGUCUUACUGGUUUGUGCAUAACUAGUUCAGGAGUUUUUUUAGAGGCUACUUUUAAGUAAAGACCAUAUUUAAAUAGGCGCAGAAAUCUGACUUUCAUGGACCACAUCUUGACUUCCUAUGUUUCUUCCACACUGUUUUUCUGGAUCCUCUCUUGGUAUCAAGGAUAAGUUUAAAUACCUACUUUUUUUUUUUAAUGGAAUAUAUUUGUUCUUUUAUACUCAGAACCAAACUUUCAAGUCCUGUGCUGAAGGAACAGGGUAGUAUAGCAGUUCUUAUAAAAAUGAUGGAGAGAUUCCAGAUGAAUGUCCAACACCAUUAUUCUGAAUCUUACUUGUUUUUUCAUUUCAAUUAAAAGAAACUUAAAAGCUAUUGUGCACUGAUAUGAUGUUGAUAAUGCUAAUGACAAGCACUAUUAUACUAGCUGCCUCAGGGUUAUUUUGCAAUCAUGAACAAGAGAAAGUGAUAAGAAAUGGCAAGAAAAAUGUUUCAGGAAACAAUUUUUCUGAGAUGUCUUCUGAGUUCUGAAAAAAAAAUCGAAUUUUUCUGAUUGGCAUGUAUACUCAAGUAUGGGUCAGAUGUAACCCUUUUUUAAAAAAAAAAAAAAAUAAUUCUGAGGCGUUUCCAUCUUACCAACAGUAAUACAAGAUGACUGAUGAUGAUUGGUCAUGCUAGCUUGUAUCAGAGCCCAGAAUACAGACCUUUUUAUUGCCCUGUCUUAUUCUUCAUACAGUACAGUUUAACAAAAAAUUAUAAAGAGAGAACCUAAAAAUCAAUUGUACAAAAUAACAAUUCUGUUGUAAUGAGAUAAAGUCAAUGCAUGCAGGUUGGCACAAAAUAACUUGCUACUCUGCUAUUGAAUUUUAUUUCACAUCUCUGUGCUAUGAAAUAAAAGUUCUUAACACAUUUUUGAUAUACAAAACAUGUAAAAAAAAAAACAAACAACAACAACUAAUUUCUUCUUACCUGUGAAGAGUGGUGGAUUAUGCAUUACAAAUCAAUACUAGAGUUCAGAUGUUGUUACAGAACCACUCAAGCUAGACUUUUUUGGUUAAUGAUAUCAUCUGGAAAUCUGCAAUGAUUAAGAACAUAGUAAUCCAUUCUUCCUCAUUCAUUACAUAAUAGAUAAUAACCACAUAUUUCAUUACAUUUGAUUACAUUACAAGCAAUAUGCUCAAGCUUAUAAUGUAUACAGAAAGCAGCAAAAAGCUUUUUGAAUGUAAUUAAGGUGUGAAAAGUAGUUCUGUUUAACAAAAAAAAAUAUUUUAUUCAUAAGUUCUGGCAUUUCUGGUAAAGAAAGGAAAGGAAAACCAACAUCCUGCCAAUAAAAUGAAGAAUAAAUAAAUGACAAUAUGUAAUAAAG